rnacentral:rRNA from 1 species
GAUGAACGCUGGCGGCGUGCUUAACACAUGCAAGUCGAACGGACAGGCUCCUGCUUGCAUGGUUACUCGAGUGCCGAACGGGUGAGUACCACGUGUGGAAUCUCCCCUGCACUUCGUGCUAAACCUUGGAAACUCGGUCUAAUACCGCAUAUGCCGAUGGUUUCCAUCCCAUUGUAGAAUGUGUUUCGGUUUGGGCUGAGCUCGCGGCCUCUCCGCUUGUUGGUGGGCUAAUGGCCUACCAAGGCGUCGACCGGUAGCCGGCCUGGGAGGGUGCACGCGAACAUUGAGCCUAAGGGAAGGACCAGCCUCCAACGGUAGGCAGCAGUCGGGAGCCUGGCACCAUAGCCGCAAGCCUGAGGCGGCGACUCCGGGAGGGGGAAGACGUCCUUCGGGUUAUAAACUCCUUUCGCGAAGGACGAAGCGCAAGUGACGGUACCUAGAGAAGAAGCACCGGCUAACUACGUG